GAUAAAGGAAAAAUCUGCAGGGGGAAACAGGUAAAUCAGGACAAAACUGAAAUACUUGAUCCAAACAGGGGACGACGAUUUCACUUAGGAAAUACGCACUCAAACUCAACUGGGGAAGAAAUGAACUUCAACACAGGAGUACCAGAAAUAUAUCAUCUAUUACCGGUUACUAGGUAAGAAGAUAACAUAAUCUGACUGAGAGGACAUCCGUUACCGGUUAGGGUAAACAUAUCAAGGAUGACUCGC
rnacentral:lncRNA from 1 species